rnacentral:rRNA from 1 species
AGAGCGAACGCUGGCGGCAGGCCUAAUACAUGCAAGUCGAGCGCACCUUCGGGUGAGCGGCGGACGGGUGAGUAACGCGUGGGAAUAUGCCCUUUGGUACGGAACAACUGAGGGAAACUUCAGCUAAUACCGUAUGUGCCCUUUGGGGGAAAGAUUUAUCGCCAUUGGAGUAGCCCGCGUUGGAUUAGGUAGUUGGUGAGGUAAAGGCUCACCAAGCCUACGAUCCAUAGCUGGUCUGAGAGGAUGAUCAGCCACAUUGGGACUGAGACACGGCCCAAACUCCUACGGGAGGCAGCAGUAGGGAAUCUUGCGCAAUGGGCGAAAGCCUGACGCAGCCAUGCCGCGUGAAUGAUGAAGGUCUUAGGAUUGUAAAAUUCUUUCACCGGGGUAAGAUAAUGACGGUACCCGGAGAAGAAGCCCGGCUAACUUCGUGCCAGCAGCCGC